AACUCUUAGCAGUGGAUCACUCGGCUUGUGCGUCAAUGAAGAAUGCAACUAGCUGCGAGAACUAAUGUGAAUUGCAGGACACUGAUCAAAGACACUUUGAAAGCACCUUGCGGCCCUGGGUUUAUCCCGGGGCUACGCCUGUCUGAGGGUCG
rnacentral:rRNA from 1 species